rnacentral:rRNA from 1 species
UACGGAUGGGGCCCUCGGGUACCCACUGUAACCAAACUCCGAAUACCAACAGCCAAGGCAAGGGAGUCAGCCCACGAGUGACAAUAUCCGUGGACAAAAGGGAAACAUCCCAGACCGCCAGCUAAGGUCCCUGAACAUUGCUUAGUUCUAAAGGAAGUCGAAGCGCAAAGACAGCCAGGAUGUUGGCUUAGAAGCAGCCACCAUUUAAAGAGUGCGUAAUAGCUCACUGGUCGAGGGUUUCGGCGCCGAUAAUGAUCGGGAAUAAGCAAUGUACCGAAGCUGCGGGCUGCGUAAGCAGCGGUAGGAGAGCGUUCCUGUCAGCAGAGAAGGCGUCCCGAAAGGGUCGCUGGAGCGUCAGGAAGUGAAUAUGCCGGGUUGAGUAACGAUAAAGCAGGUGAAAAUCCUGCUCGCCGAAAAUCUAAGGUUUCCUGGGGAAGGUAAAUCCGCCCAGGGUCAGCCGGGACCUAAGGUGAGGCCGAAAGGCGUAGCCGAUGGACGGCAGGUUAAUAUUCCUGCGCUACUGUGGAGAUCAAUCAUGAGUGCGGAUCGGUCAGCCCUGCGUAAGCACCAGCUUGCUGAGGCCCUUGAGGCCGCUGCAGGGGGCUCUGGUCCCGAGAAAAGCUCAUGUGGCAAAGCAGUACCCGUACCAAAACCGACACAGGUAGAUGAGGUGAAUAACCUAAGGCGCUCGAGAUAACGGAAGUGAAGGAAUUAGGCAAAUUGACCCCGUAAGUUCGCGAUAAGGGGGCCCUACCCCUCGGGGAGGGCGCAGAGAAAAGGCUCUGGCGACUGUUUAUCAAAAACACAGCACUGUGCUAACUCGCAAGAGGACGUAUACAGUGUGACGCCUGCCCAAUGCCGGAAUGUCACGGAAGCGGGUUAGCUUCGGCGAAGCUCGUAACCUAAGCACCGGUCAAUGGCGGCCGUAACUAUGACGGUCCUAAGGUAGCGAAGUUCCUUGUCGGGUAAGUUCCGACGCGCAUGAAUGGCGUAACGACUGGAGCACUGUCUCCACUUCCGACUCGGUGAAAUAGUAGUGGCGGUGAAGAUGCCGCCUACCCGCGACAAGACGGAAAGACCCCAUGAACCUUUACUAUAGGCUUUUAUUGCACAUGAGUUUGUAUUGCGUAGGAUAGGUGGGAGGCUUUGAAGCGGCCGUUCUGGCGGUCGUGGAGCCAUCCUUGAAAUACCACCCUUUACCUAUUCGUGUGCUAACCCCGAUUCCCGUGAAGCCGGGCGGGGGACAGUGAGUGCUGGGUAGUUUGACUGGGGCGGUCUCCUCCGAAAGAGUAACGGAGGAGCGCAAAGGUUGGUUCAGCGCGGAUGGAAACCGCGUGUUGAGUGUAAGAGCACAAGCCAGCUUUACUGCGAGAGCGACGGCUCGAGCAGUCUCGAAAGAGGGCUCUAGUGAUCCUGCGAUCCCGUGUGGAAGGGUCGUAGCUCAUCGGAUAAAAGGUACUCUGGGGAUAACAGGCUGAUCGCUCCCGAGCGUCCAUAGCGGCGGAGCGGUUUGGCACCUCGAUGUCGGCUCAUCGCAUCCUGGGGCUGAAGGCGGUCCCAAGGGUUAGGCUGUUCGCCUAUUAAAGCGGUACGCGAGCUGGGUUCAGACCGGCGUGAGCCAGGUCGGUCCCUAUCUGUCGUGGGCGCUGCACAUUUGAGAGGAGUCUUCCUUAGUACGAGAGGAUUAGGAAGGACGAACCCCUGGUGAUCCAGCUGUCGCGCUAGCGGCACCGCUGGGUAGCUAAGUUCGGCAGGGAUAACCGCUGAAAGCAUCUAAGCGGGAAGCCCCCCUCAAGAUGAGAUGUGCUUGCUAUACGCGUGAGACCCCUGGAAGACCACCAGGUUGA